AACGAACGCUGGCGGCAUGCCUAACACAUGCAAGUCGAACGAGACCUUCGGGUCUAGUGGCGCACGGGUGCGUAACGCGUGGGAACCUGCCCUUAGGUUCGGAAUAACUCCCCGAAAGGGGUGCUAAUACCGGAUAAUGUCUUCGGACCAAAGAUUUAUCGCCUUUGGAUGGGCCCGCGUUGUAUUAGCUAGUUGGUAGGGUAAAAGCCUACCAAGGCGACGAUCCAUAGCUGGUCUGAGAGGAUGAUCAGCCACACUGGGACUGAGACACGGCCCAGACUCCUACGGGAGGCAGCAGUGGGGAAUAUUGGACAAUGGGCGAAAGCCUGAUCCAGCAAUGCCGCGUGAGUGAUGAAGGCCUUAGGGUUGUAAAGCUCUUUUACCCGGGAUGAUAAUGACAGUACCGGGAGAAUAAGCUCCGGCUAACUCCGU
rnacentral:rRNA from 1 species